AAUCGCCAAUGAUUUUCAUCCCUAUCCUCCGACCACUCCAAGAAACCCUAAUGAGAAUUCACACGCUCCAUCCUUCUCUGUGCCAAUCUUCUUCGAUCAUUGCAACUUGUUAUUGGGUUAGAUCGGUUGGCGAUCUAGAUUUUCGAUGCACUUUUUGCUAUGAUUCUCGAAGGAUAGGGAUUACAUAAACGAAGGCGAGAUAAUCGAUGCACGCAUUUGAUUUUUCUCCUUGAUUUACCAAUCAUGGAUGGAUCGUAUUCAGUCAGAGGCGGAUUUACCGAUUCACGCAUCAGAUCUACGAUUCUUGGCUUCUUGAGCGAGACAAAUGGUAAAGUUGUCUUUCUGAUUUGUUCUGUUGAUGCAAUUUUUGCUGUUAUAAUUCGUCGAUCCAUUAGGAUUGUUAUGGUAUAUAAGUUUUUCUUAUCAGAUCCGUUGGUGAGUCGGUUAAUUAUUAACCUGUUUAAGCAUCUGCUAUAUUAAUAUUAUUGGUCAUCUUAGGUAAUGAUUUUCUUUUCCAGUACUAGCCAUGUUGGCAGGAAUGGCAGGAUUCGUAACACCAUUAUUAGCAGAAUUUUAUUUGGCAUAACGUUCGACUGCUGAAGGUUGUUGUCAUGCUAUGCUACUCAACAGGACCUAUCUUUGUAGGGCUCGGGGGUCUGUUUCCUUUGAUGAGGUUCGUGUGUUGUUGAUGGAUGUUGAUGUCAGAGAUGAAAUCGAUUUGUUGUGGAAGCUUGGUGAUAUGAUCUAGGAUGAAAAUUUGAAGUUUGAAGUUUGCUACCAGGUUUGUACUUGGAUGUAAGGCUACCCUGACGGGUCUCGUAUAUAUGUGUUAAUUGGCCUUUGCCAUGAUGGGUACGCUCGCAUGGCAGGUCACCAGAUCCUAAUAAAAAAGAAAUAUUUUUGUUUUUGGGGGGAGUUCGCACGGUGGUUUGCCGGGUUCUCCCCCUGGUGUUGCGUGCUCGUGUGUGUGUGUGUGUGGUUGUCAUAUCGUGUGUUGGUCGGUUUAUUUUUAUCGUUGUUCAAAGUUGCUUACAAAUCGUGGGAACUGCUUCAACAUCCAGACCGCAUAUGCAAGGAAUAAGUAACCUGACGGCAAAAGACAUUGAAGAGUUCAGUUCCAUUACAUCAUCAUUGAAGAAUUCAGUUCCAUUACAUCAUCAUUGAAGAAUUCAGUUCCAUUACGAACCAUUGAAGAAUUCAAUUGAUUAACCAAAUAGCUUAUCGAUAUGAUUUGGCUUCAUUAUUUUUUUAUGUCCCAUUAUUUUCCAAGCAGAUUUAAAGUAUGCAAUGUAAAGGCUACAAUCAUGGUAUCUUUUGCUAAUUCGCCUGAAGAUCAGGCAUGCCCACCGAUAUCCUACCUGGUGCAACAAUUUGAGAAGGGUUCCAAAUUUGUGUUUGAAAAACGUAACGCAAACUAUUUUCGAGGUAGAAUCUGCAAGUUAUUUGUAAUAGGAAACCUAAUUUCAUAGCAUAUACAAAGCAUGUGAAAUUGCAAUUUGCUUGAA